rnacentral:lncRNA from 1 species
GAUUUCUUCACACAGACUCACAUGAAAUUUGGUGCCAUGACUCGGAUCGGGGGACCUCCCUUGGGAGAUCAAUCCCCUGUCCUCCUGUUCUUUGCUCCGUGAAAAAGAUCCACCUACGACCUCAGGUCCUCAGACCCACCAGCCCAAGGAACAUCUCACCAAUUUUAAAUCAGGUACACACCCAGAUGGCUGGUUCCUGCCUUAACUGAUGACAUUCCACCA